rnacentral:rRNA from 1 species
UACGUAGGGGGCAAGCGUUGUCCGGAAUCAUUGGGCGUAAAGAGCGUGUAGGCGGCCCGAUAAGUCCGCUGUGAAAGUCCAGGGCUCAACCCUGGAAUGCCGGUGGAUACUGUCGGGCUCGAAUCCGGAAGAGGCGAGUGGAAUUCCUGGUGUAGCGGUGGAAUGCGCAGAUAUCAGGAGGAACACCAAUAGCGAAGGCAGCUCGCUGGGACGGUACUGACGCUAAGGCGCGAAAGCGUGGGGAGCGAACAGG